rnacentral:rRNA from 1 species
UGGGGAAUUUUGGACAAUGGGCGAAAGCCUGAUCCAGCAAUGCCGCGUGUGUGAAGAAGGCCUUCGGGUUGUAAAGCACUUUUGUCCGGAAAGAAAUCCUUGGCUCUAAUACAGUCGGGGGAUGACGGUACCGGAAGAAUAAGCACCGGCUAACUACGUGCCAGCAGCCGCGGUAAUACGUAGGGUGCAAGCGUUAAUCGGAAUUACUGGGCGUAAGCGUGCGCAGGCGGUUUGCUAAGACCGAUGUGAAAUCCCGGGCUCAACCUGGGAACUGCAUUGGUGACUGGCAGGCUAGAGUAUGGCAGAGGGGGGUAGAAUUCCACGUGUAGCAGUGAAAUGCGUAGAGAUGUGGAGGAAUACCGAUGGCGAAGGCAGCCCCCUGGGCCAAUACUGACGCUCAUGCACGAAAGCGUGGGGAGCAAGCAGGAUUAGAUACCCUGGUAGUCCACGCCCUAAACGAUGUCAACUAGUUGUUGGGGAUUCAUUUCCUUAGUAACGUAGCUAACGCGUGAAGUUGACCGCCUGGGGAGUACGGUCGCAAGAUUAAAACUUAAAUGAAUUGACGGGGUCAUAGCUGUUUCCU